ACCGAAGAAAGCGUGAUGCUUCAACUACUGAGGACAAUUAUGCAGAUUUCGUGGUAGGUGAGGACGGCAAGUGUUCUGGCGUACAAAGUAACCAGUACUGCAAUGGUGAUUUACAGCCGGGACGAAGUUACAGGGUGAAAUCAUUUGUAUGUACAGAAGGCGGUUGUACGGAGACGGAGUAUUCGAAGCCUAUAUCAACAGUACCUCUGGAGAUAAAAG